AACGAACGCUGGCGGCAGGCUUAACACAUGCAAGUCGAACGCCCCGCAAGGGGAGUGGCAGCCGGGUGAGUAACGCGUGGGAAUCUACCCAUCCCUACGGAAUAACGCAUGGAAACGUGUGCUAAUACCGUAUACGCCCUACGGGGGAAAGAUUUAUCGGGGAUGGAUGAGCCCGCGUUGGAUUAGCUAGUUGGUGGGGUAAAGGCCUACCAAGGCGACGAUCCAUAGCUGGUCUGAGAGGAUGAUCAGCCACAUUGGGACUGAGACACGGCCCAAACUCCUACGGGAGGCAGCAGUGGGGAAUAUUGGACAAUGGGCGCAAGCCUGAUCCAGCCAUGCCGCGUGAGUGAUGAAGGCCUUAGGGUUGUAAAGCUCUUUCACCGGAGAAGAUAAUGACGGUAUCCGGAGAAGAAGCCCCGGCUAACUUCGUG
rnacentral:rRNA from 1 species